GCCUCAAUGGCACAGUGAUAGCACGUGGGAUUGCGUUAUCUCUAGGUCAUGCGUUCGAAUCGCAUUUGGGGCU